rnacentral:tRNA from 1 species
GCCCGUAUAGCUCAACGGUAGUAGCAAGACUUUUGUAAAGUCGAGGUUGGGGGUUCAAGUCCUCUUGCGGGCU